UACGGAGGGAGCUAGCGUUGUUCGGAAUUACUGGGCGUAAAGCGCACGUAGGCGGCUUUGUAAGUUAGAGGUGAAAGCCCGGGGCUCAACCCCGGAAUUGCCUUUAAGACUGCAUCGCUUGAAUCCGGGAGAGGUGAGUGGAAUUCCCGGUGUAGCGGUGAAAUGCGCAGAUAUCGGGAAGAACACCCGUGGCGAAGGCGGCUCUCUGGAACGCAACUGACGCUGAGACGCGAAAGCGUGGGGAGCAAACAGG
rnacentral:rRNA from 1 species